rnacentral:snRNA from 1 species
UGAUUUCGGAAUCAGUGUUUCUU